rnacentral:rRNA from 2 species
UAGGGAAUCUUCGGCAAUGGACGAAAGUCUGACCGAGCAACGCCGCGUGAGUGAAGAAGGUUUUCGGAUCGUAAAACUCUGUUGUUAGAGAAGAACAAGGACGUUAGUAACUGAACGUCCCCUGACGGUAUCUAACCAGAAAGCCACGGCUAACUACGUGCCAGCAGCCGCGGUAAUACGUAGGUGGCAAGCGUUGUCCGGAUUUAUUGGGCGUAAAGCGAGCGCAGGCGGUUUCUUAAGUCUGAUGUGAAAGCCCCCGGCUCAACCGGGGAGGGUCAUUGGAAACUGGGAGACUUGAGUGCAGAAGAGGAGAGUGGAAUUCCAUGUGUAGCGGUGAAAUGCGUAGAUAUAUGGAGGAACACCAGUGGCGAAGGCGGCUCUCUGGUCUGUAACUAACGCUGAGGCUCGAAAGCGUGGGGAGCAAACAGG